rnacentral:lncRNA from 1 species
GGAUCAGAGGAUCUUCUCCAUAGUGUCAUGGCUACUCUGACUGACCAGCAAAAACUCUGCCCAGGCCAAGAGGUCAGAGAACUGCGGUAUUAAUCUCCACUCAGAUGCUAAGUCUCCUGCUCAGAGCCUUUGAACUGGUCGCUCAUUCCAGGGGAGAUCUUGAUAACAACUAUUCCUUGGAGAAGGUUCAUAGGAAACAAGGUGAAUAAACACCGCAGAAGCCCUCCCUGUCUA